AAAUUUAAACGAACAAUACAUAUUUAUUUAAUUCAAAAUGUGGAGCGUAUACUACUUAACUAUAUUUUUAUUACUAUUCUGCCACCUUCCUUGAUCGUAUAGGUUAGAAUAAUUUUGUAUCUUUGGAAUGUUAGAUAUUGACUUAAAAGUAAUCCCUUGAUUUAAGGAAACGAUAAUAUUAAAAUUCUAAAAUUACUUUUCUAUACUAAUACCUAAUAUAACGCUAAUUACCUAAGGAAAUUAGAUUGAAGAUCUGGCCGUUUAUUUUAGAAAGAUGAAGCAUCAAUAUUGAGUCUUAUUUUAUAGGCUAAUCCCUUCGUCCUGAUCUUGCUGCAGCUGGUCUCGUCCAAUUCGAGCAGAACUUCUGCAACUCAUCCAUCUGGUCGUAGGCAGGUUGUAAGAUUUGUGGAGAGUGGGAAACGAGAGAAAUGCGAGACGAUUGUAGAAUACGCUGAAUCGUAUUCUUGAGAGAAGCCGCCGCACCAAAAGCCGCCAUACCCAAAUUAUCAGCUCAGCUCAGCUAUUUUCCUCCAAAAUGAAGCUUAAAGUCAACUGCAAUUCAGUCGCCUAACAAAGAAUUGGAGAAGAAGAAGGAAUUAUAAUAAGCAAAUAGAGAUGAAACAAAUGAUAGAUCUCAGCUCUCUGCUUACCUCUUGGAGGAGUUGGCGCAAGUCCACGGCGGCGGCAGCUGGUUUUGAUACAAAUUCAGAAAUAUUCAAUACCACAUUCAAGAACUUUAGUAAAUGAUUUGAAAAAUGUGUUAUAUGUAAUGGUAAAAUCGAUCAAUUGAUGAUUUUGAAGGCAAUUGUGUGGAAGAAUAGUAGCAAGAAAUUAUGAAGAUCGAGCAAUCAAGCAGUUGAAAAUUAUGAGAGCUGCUUCAAAAAUUAGUAGGUACAUAAUUAAUGGGGCAUGACCGCAUGACACCCAUCAUUGUUGUUUGACAUAAUGUCCAUCCAAUUUAAACUUAAAGAAUGAAAAUUGUACUCC
rnacentral:lncRNA from 1 species